rnacentral:misc_RNA from 1 species
AGGGGAUAACAAAGGAACUUGGGAUGAUUUGAGGUAUUCAAUAUCUACAGUGUUGAAUUUUGGAUUGUUUGGUGUUCCUAUGGUUGGUGCUGAUAUAUGUGGAUUCUAUCCAGCACCAACGGAGGAGCUUUGCAAUCGUUGGAUUGAAGUUGGCGCGUUCUAUCCAUUCUCAAGGGAUCACGCCAACUAUUAUUCGCCUAGGCAAGAGCUUUACCAAUGGGAGAGUGUGGCUGAAUCUGCGCGAAAUGCUUUAGGUAUGAGGUACAAGUUAUUACCAUAUUUCUAUACCUUGAACUACGAGGCACAUACUACUGGUGCGCCAAUUGCUCGUCCCCUCUUCUUCUCUUUUCCAACUCUAACAGAACUUCACGACGUGAGCACUCAAUUCUUGGUAGGAACCAGUGUCAUGGUCUCACCAGUGUUAGAUCAGGGGAAAACAGAGGUGAAAGUUCUGUUUCCCCCUGGUACGUGGUACAAUUUAUUCGAUAUGACACAAGCAAUAGUCACAAAAGACCUACAUUACCUCACAUUAGACGCGCCUCUAAGUGUGGUCAAUGUACAUGUCUACGAAAACACCAUCAUACCAAUGCAGCGCGGUGGGAUGAUAUCAAAAGAAGCAAGAACGACACCUUUUACCCUCGUAGUCACCUUACCAUCGGGGACAAAUGACAUAGAAGCUAAAGGAAAUCUUUUCCUCGACGAUGAUGAGCUUCCU